rnacentral:snoRNA from 1 species
UGGUCAUAUACCAAGGCUCUUGGGAUAUUCAGUUCCUGACUUGCUGUGGAAUUGACCAUAAAGUAAACCUUCCAAUGGGUCUUGCCAGUGCCAUGCUGGGGUGGCUCUAUUGGAAACAGUG